GGUGGUUCUCAGGUGACACACCCCAGAAUCGGGCUCCCUUCUCUCUGGUUCCCGUUGCAUCACCCAAGAAUACA
rfam:Myotis lucifugus cont2.19778, whole genome shotgun sequence.